rnacentral:tRNA from 2 species
GCCGCGGUAGCUCAGCUGGCAGAGCGCUCGGCUGUUAACUUCUAGUUGACAGAGACCGAGCGGUCGACGGUUCGAGUCCGUCCCGCGGCG